AUGAAUGACAGAUUUUUUUGCAGAAUGAAGGAGAGACUCUCUCUAGCAGGGCCCACAUGCCACGUAGCCAAGGAGGAGUUCACUGCAGCUCCCCUCAGGCAUCUUCCAGGCUCUUCAGCCUGUAAAAGCUGUCCUGCAGGUCAGCAAAGAGGAGGUGGUGGCUACUGGAUACCCAGCACACGGCCUGGCAGAGCACUCCAGUGCAUGCCUUCCUUCCCUGCCUGCUGUUUCGGAGAUGGUGGAUGCAGGAUGCCCCUGAUUCAACAAUCUUCAUUUUCUGAAAGUGGCAUGAACUAGGAGUUAAAUGUAGCUAAUUUGAUUUUUUUUUUAAGAAUUCUGUUUAUGUGUAACAAUUAAAGUUUUAAUUUUUUAAAGACAAAAACAUCCAUUUUAUAUUUUAGUACUAAUUACUAGAAGGUAAAGAAAAAAUAGACUGUAGAUUUUCUAAUGCACUUUUUUGUAAUAUUUUCAACGCAACAAUUCAGAUCCCUCUCUAGAACUUUACAAAACUGUGUCAGAAAAGAAUUUGUACAAAUAAUAACUUUUCUAGGAAUCCUC
rnacentral:lncRNA from 1 species